CACUCAGCUUGGUACCUGAUCAUAUCCACACUGGCCCCUGGCCCCUGGGAGCCCAGGCAGAUGGGAGCCCAGGCCAGAGGAAGGGGAAAGAGCCGGCCGUGGGUUGUGGUCCUCGUGGGGACCCGGAGAGAACAGCAUUGAGGGACAAGCCUGAAGGGUGGGACCCAUGUCCUUGCUCACUCCACAGGUGCAGAGAGUUCCAGCAAGGUGACAGACGCUGACAAGGGUGAGCAAAAGAGAUCUG
rnacentral:lncRNA from 1 species